CCUGAGAAACCCGAAAGAUCGAAUGGGGAGAUUCAUCGUCAGCGAUUCUGGUACGUGUGCGGUUCGCGAUGUCUGAGACUUCGGUCUCGUGGCACGCGUCCGUAUGUUUUUUAUUGCUGGAGUCGUCGGCGUGCACUUCUCCCCUAGUAGGACGUCGCGACCCGUUGGGUGUCGGUCUACGGCACGGUAGGGUUAGCCUGUCACGUGUGGCGCUUCACGGCGUUACGCGGGGCAGACCUCCGUUCUCCCGACCGGCUGCCCGGCGGUACUCGCACGGUAUCUGGCCGCAGGCAUACGAACUGCGUCCGGCCCGUCGCAAGCGCGGCAAGUGUUUCCCGGCUGUACGGAUCUGAUGCCGUCAGUGGGCCUUGCCAGCUGUUGGUUGACGGUGUCCUAGGACUGGGCUAACAAAAUUAUGAUACCGGUCGGCGACGCUACUGCUUUGGGUACUUUCAGGACCCGUCUUGAAACACGGA
rnacentral:rRNA from 1 species